AGCGGCGGACGGGUUAGUAACGCGUGGGAACGUACCCUUCUCUAAGGAAUAGCCUCGGGAAACUGAGAGUAAUACCUUAUACGCCCUUUGGGGGAAAGAUUUAUCGGAGAAGGAUCGGCCCGCGUUAGAUUAGAUAGUUGGUGGGGUAAUGGCCUACCAAGUCUACGAUCUAUAGCUGGUUUUAGAGGAUGAUCAGCAACACUGGGACUGAGACACGGCCCAGACUCCUACGGGAGGCAGCAGUGGGGAAUCUUGGACAAUGGGCGCAAGCCUGAUCCAGCCAUGCCGCGUGAGUGAUGAAGGCCUUAGGGUCGUAAAGCUCUUUCGCCAGGGAUGAUAAUGACAGUACCUGGUAAAGAAACCCCGGCUAACUCCGUGCCAGCAGCCGCGGUAAUACGGAGGGGGUUAGCGUUGUUCGGAAUUACUGGGCGUAAAGCGCACGUAGGCGGAUCAGAAAGUAAGAGGUGAAAUCCCAGGGCUCAACCCUGGAACUGCCUUUUAAACUCCUGGUCUAGAGUUCGAGAGAGGUGAGUGGAAUUCCGAGUGUAGAGGUGAAAUUCGUAGAUAUUCGGAGGAACACCAGUGGCGAAAGCGGCUCACUGGCUCGAUACUGACGCUGAGGUGCGAAAGUGUGGGGAGCAACAGGAUUAGAUACCUGUAGUCCACACGGA
rnacentral:rRNA from 1 species